UACGUAGGGGGCAAGCGUUGUCCGGAUUUAUUGGGCGUAAAGAGCGUGUAGGCGGCCAGGUAGGUCCGUUGUGAAAACUCGAGGCUCAACCUCGAGACGUCGGCGGAAACCCUCUGGCUAGAGUCCGGAAGAGGAGAGUGGAAUUCCUGGUGUAGCGGUGAAAUGCGCAGAUAUCAGGAAGAACACCCGUGGCGAAGGCGGGUCUCUGGGCCGAUACUGACGCUGAGGAGCGAAAGCGUGGGGAGCGAACAGG
rnacentral:rRNA from 1 species